rnacentral:tRNA from 1 species
GGAGAGUGAAGGGUGCCUGGUGGCCCUCGCGGUCUUCAAAACCGUCGUCGCCGCGCAAGUGGCGAGGUAGGUUCGAUUCCUAUCCUCUCCGCCA